rnacentral:lncRNA from 1 species
CAUUUUCUACAAGACCCCAAGAGAUGGACUUUCCUCUCCCCUUCCUCCUUUUAGAAAUGGCAUCCUUCAUCUCUGUCUAGGCAGGCCCAAUUAUCCAGAUACUUGGGGCUCCAAUAGGGUCUGAGUCAUUGGAACCAGGAACACCUGGCUGAAACAUGCCACAUAAUUAGAUUUUCUUUUUCUUUACCUUUUCUUUCUUAUUUUUAUAAGAGGCCCGGAAUUAGCCUCUUCGACUGGGGCGGAGUAGCUGGGGUGUGGGAAAGGAACACCUUCAUACAACUUCCAGCUUUCAGCCCCUUGGAGAGAUUUCCAAAUUCCCCAGAGCCUCUAGGACUUCCUUUCCUCGAUCUCUCGGCCACCUCCUCCUCCUUCUCCGAUCUGUUUUUUUUUCCCUCCUCCCACUGUCUUCUCUAUGGUUUAAUCAAAGUUCAGCGACUCCACUUGCCUCUCCUCUCAUUUCUUUCGGAAAGGGGAAACCAGACGACCCAGCGGCCACGGGACGAGUCGCCCCAACUCAACCCCAGCAGGACGCUGGAGGGGCCUCCCUUGCCCACCUCUCUUCGCUGGCACUGGCCUCCUGCACCCGGGUCUGCAGUCCCUCCGCCAUCUCACAAGUGUGCAGCCGCUAGGCCUGGGGGAUCCGAAUGACUGGGGCUGGAUAGGAAUGCCUUCGUGUUUCCCAAGACCCCCGGGCCUGCUCCACAAAGUUUGAAGGGAGCCCCUGUUUUAAGAAGGAGGCCAAAUGUGCAGGCUCAGGCCAAGCAGCAGAGAUGAAUGAGGUGAUGACCACAGCCUUGAUCCGGCAGGAGCUCAGAGAUGCCCGGGAAGACGGGGGGCCCGAAUGGAAGCAGAAAAACACUUAUGGCCGCUGGGAAGUUGGGAGAGCCAGGCUGGGACUCCGGCAGGCCCAGGGAAAGUUCCCCUUCUAGGCUCUUUAUUAAAAAAUUUAAAAGGAGGAGUUGAGGCGCCUUGAAUUUUCCUUCGCGAGUUUGGAGACCAGCCGAUUUUUCACGAAGCAAGCAAAGACCGCGGUCCCGGAUCCUGCAACAUAUACCUCAUUUUCUCCAGGCCUCUCCACUUGCCCGAGCUCUCAGCCACCAGGAGACAGACGGAAGGGGCUUCUGGGCUGUGUUGGGAGCGGGCAUUGUCCCCUACCCACUCCUGCACAGUUUCCCAAAGUCCAGCCACCUCCGACCCUCCUUGGGGGAAAAAAUACCAGUACCCAGACACCUCUGCACCCUGUUAUAUGACUGGGCUUGCUUCAGGAAUAUCUUACAAAGAAGAAGGAGGAGGAGGAGGAACGGCUUGGAGUCAUGUUUACAUCUAGUUCUACUGAUCCGUUCACAUCUGGAGAGUUUAUUUAUAACUCCCUCUAUAACUCUCUGUUUGGAGGCACUGGUGGCUCUACUGACAGACUGAUGUCUAGGAAAUAUUGCUCUAUGUCUAAUGGUACCUAAAUGUGCUGUGGUUGUAUUUACAGAUUUACGUUUGAGGGAAAUAUAAUUAUUUCCAUUGUA